rnacentral:misc_RNA from 1 species
CAACGCUGGCGCGGGCGGUACGAAUUUAACGAGCUCGGCGGUUCGGUUGGAGAACGCCGCGUCCGGUCCCCGGGCAUGCCUGCGUAGUCGGCAAACAACUCGGGAAGUCAUCACACGCGCCACCGAGACUCGACAGAGGUCGUGCUUCGAAGAUGUGGGCGCCCUUGGUGAUCGCGGCGGUUGCGUGGACCAUCGGCGCGGUGGACGCGUCGAGCGGACCUUUCUCGUGCCCGAGCCUGGAGCUGUGCAGCUGCGUCGACGAGCGCGUGGAUUGCACAUGCCCUCUGGGAGACGAGGCGCUCGACCUGUUCGCGCUGUUCGAGCCGGACGUGGAGUACAUCAGCGUGAGGCACUGCGGAGUCGUGCACGUGCCGCCGUACCUGGUGGCCACUCUGUCGCUCGAAGAGUUCUCGCUGAGCGACAUCGACCAGCUGGUGGUCCGCUCGAUGGCCUUCGAGAAGGUGUCCGCGGUGCGCACCAUGCGGCUUCGUGACGUGCGCAACCUCACCUUGGAGCACCUGGCUCUGCACGGGCUACGCGGCACCGAGCUGCUGGAGAUGGACAACGUGACCGCGGCCGAGCUACCGCCUGCAGCGCUGGCAGGAUUCACGGACGUCCAGCAGCUAGCCAUCCGCAACUCGCGCCUGGGACAGGUCCACUCCAUGGCGCUGCUGUUUGCCAAGGGCAAAUCGUUCCGGCUCUCCAACACGGUCGUGGACCAGGCGCAGAACGGCUCACUCGUGUUCGACUCGGUGAGCACGGUCGAGGUGUCGAACUGUUCCUUCGGCAACGUGAGCGGGGCCCCCCUGUCGGCCACCAACGCAACCGAGGUCGUCAUUCGAGACUCCACGUUCACCGAGCUCCGAGAGCGCGGGAGCCUGCUCCUGCUGGGAGGCGCCAACGCGACGAACGUCAUCUUCGAGAACAAUCGAAUCGAUCUAGCCGGGACCGGAGCGCUGGCACACCUGUCUUCGGCGAAGAACGUCACGUUCGCCCGAAACGUCAUCCGGACAGUAAAAGAAAGUGCGCUCCCAUCGGGGCCGGCCGUGAAGUUCGCGAAUAACUCGUUUCUGUGCUCGUGCAACGCGUCGUGGCUGUGGAUACGGAAAUCUGGUGGCGGCGGCGUCUUCGAAGGAUCCGCGGUGAUCAAUUCGAGCAUCUGCGCUGGUCCGCCUCCGCUGGACGGACUGAGGAUGAGCGAAGUCGAGCCUGUGCCGGCAAACGGAACCUGCAGACUGAUCAAGUCGUCGAGGCGCGAGAUGCGCGAGAAGGUACUAGCACGGCUUAGCGGACUGUCUCGUGCAUCCCAGGAACCACUGCGGCCGUGUGGCGGUUGGACUGUUCUGGCUCUUCUCGUGGCACUUGUAGUACCGCACUGACGUACGAUACUGUUGGCAGAACAUUAAUUAACUUUGGCUUCAAGAGCAGCAGCCGAUGGCUGGCGUCGUGAUCGCCGCUGGACUGUGAAGGCGCGCACCUGGUGGAACUGAGGAGAGUUGAGCAAAGAGGCGCCUCGCAUGCACUGUGUAUGCACGGUCAUACAUGGCGCUUCUUCGUCUUCAUUUGAAAACAGAGUGACGGCUCGAACUGACUUCCUUGGUCCUUUUUUGUUUAAGACGAUAUCCUU